AGAGCGAACGCUGGCGGCAGGCCUAACACAUGCAAGUCGAGCGCCCGUAGCAAUACGGGAGCGGCAGACGGGAUAGUAACACGUGGGAACGCGCCCUUCGGUUCGGAAUAACUCAGGGAAACUUGAGCUAAUACCGGAUACGCCCUUACGGGGAAAGAUUUAUUGCCGAAGGAACGGCCCGCGUCCGAUUAGCUAGUUGGUGAGGUAAUGGCUCACCAAGGCGACAAUCGGUAGCUGGUCUGAGAGGAUGACCAGCAUCACUGGGACUGAGACACGGCCCAGACUCCUACGGGAGGCAGCAGUGGGGAAUAUUGGACAAUGGGCGCAAGCCUGAUCCAGCCAUGCCGCGUGGAUGAUGAAGGCCUUAGGGUUGUAAAGUCCUUUUAACGGGGAAGAUAAUGACGGUACCCGUAGAAUAAGCCCCGGCUAACUUCGUGCCAGCAGCCGC
rnacentral:rRNA from 1 species